rnacentral:rRNA from 1 species
AGCAGCUUGCUGCUUUGCUGACGAGUGGCGGACGGGUGAGUAAUGUCUGGGAAACUGCCUGAUGGAGGGGGAUAACUACUGGAAACGGUGGCUAAUACCGCAUAACGUCGCAAGACCAAAGAGGGGGACCUUCGGGCCUCUUGCCAUCAGAUGUGCCCAGAUGGGAUUAGCUUGUUGGUGAGGUAACGGCUCACCAAGGCGACGAUCCCUAGCUGGUCUGAGAGGAUGACCAGCCACACUGGAACUGAGACACGGUCCAGACUCCUACGGGAGGCAGCAGUGGGGAAUAUUGCACAAUGGGCGCAAGCCUGAUGCAGCCAUGCCGCGUGUAUGAAGAAGGCCUUCGGGUUGUAAAGUACUUUCAGCGGGGAGGAAGGUGUUGUGGUUAAUAACCGCAGCAAUUGACGUUACCCGCAGAAGAAGCACCGGCUAACUCCGUGCCAGCAGCCGCGGUAAUACGGAGGGUGCAAGCGUUAAUCGGAAUUACUGGGCGUAAAGCGCACGCAGGCGGUCUGUCAAGUCGGAUGUGAAAUCCCCGGGCUCAACCUGGGAACUGCAUUCGAAACUGGCAGGCUUGAGUCUUGUAGAGGGGGGUAGAAUUCCAGGUGUAGCGGUGAAAUGCGUAGAGAUCUGGAGGAAUACCGGUGGCGAAGGCGGCCCCCUGGACAAAGACUGACGCUCAGGUGCGAAAGCGUGGGGAGCAAACAGGAUUAGAUACCCUGGUAGUCCACGCCGUAAACGAUGUCUACUUGGAGGCUGUGCCCUUGAGGCGUGGCUUCCGGAGCUAACGCGUUAAGUAGACCGCCUGGGGAGUACGGCCGCAAGGUUAAAACUCAAAUGAAUUGACGGGGGCCCGCACAAGCGGUGGAGCAUGUGGUUUAAUUCGAUGCAACGCGAAGAACCUUACCUGGUCUUGACAUCCACAGAAGUUUGCAGAGAUGCGAAUGUGCCUUCGGGAACUGUGAGACAGGUGCUGCAUGGCUGUCGUCAGCUCGUGUUGUGAAAUGUUGGGUUAAGUCCCGCAACGAGCGCAAC